UACGGAGGGAGCUAGCGUUGUUCGGAAAUACUGGGCGUAAAGCGCACGUAGGCGGCGCAGCAAGUCAGGGGUGAAAUCCCGGGGCUCAACCCCGGAACUGCCCUUGAAACUGCAGUGCUAGAAUCUUGGAGAGGCGAGUGGAAUUCCGAGUGUAGAGGUGAAAUUCGUAGAUAUUCGGAAGAACACCAGUGGCGAAGGCGACUCGCUGGACAAGUAUUGGCGCUGAGGUGCGAAAGCGUGGGGAGCAAACAGG
rnacentral:rRNA from 1 species